AUAAAUAAGCCCUCUGAUCCCCUCUGCAAAUCAUUUAUGGAAAUUGUGGAUGCAUUAGGAUUCCAGCAAUGCAUUCAGGACGCGACAUACAUUAGUGGAAAUACCCUGGAUUUGGUUCUCGCAUGUGGCUUUGCUGUCACGAAUGUUGACAUCUUGCCUCUUGCAUCGGUGGUCUCUGAUCACUCACUUAUUAGGUUUACAGUUUCACUGCUGCGUUUAGUGGAACAACAACCUUGUUUAUCACUGAGGCAAC